AAAUAACACUUCAUAAUAAAACUACUCACAAGUAAAAAGUACAGUGUAGUAGAAAUACUCCUAAAAGUACAUUUUCUUUUUCUAAAAAAGUUACUCAAGUGAAUGUAGCUGGUAAAUAAGUGUGGACAGUGCUAAGCUAGGUGUCAAAGGUCAGGCUGUUUGAUUUAUUCUUGUUUAUUUGUCCCACACAGCUUAAAACUAUUGUCUGUUUUAAAUAUUCUAAACCUGAAAGAACCUCAAAAUUAUGUUUUCUAUCAAAUCCUUCAGUUGAAAAAUAUUUCUUAAAUUUAUUCCAUACUGAGUGCAGGUGUUUCACAUCUCUAUCAUCAGGUUGUUUAUGGCAGGUUGAGCUCAAAUCCAGCCCUAGAAAACCGCUUUCCUAAAACAUUUAGACGCUUCCUUCAACAACACACCUAAAUGAAACCGCAGCAGUGGGUCAGUCAGCUCUGCAGAGGUAACGAGUCGUUCAUUUGAUUCUGGUGUGUUGGAGGAAUGAUGCAUCAGUCCGAUGCGUUUUGUUAUUUCAUUAACUUUUGUUCAUAACCUUGAUCUAAACGUGGUGAUGGCCGUUUUCUUAACUUUAGACCUGGUGUUAAAACCAAACAACGGCAUUUGUUUCACAAGAGUUUGAACGUGGUAUAUUUCAGAAACUGCUGAUCAUUAUGGAUGAUUUUCCUGUACUAUAAAUUCUCCCAAUAGCUAUUGCGAUAAACGACAAUAUUGUUGUUUUGAGAUUUUAUUAUUAUUUUAUUAUUUUAUUUUAUUUUUUUGAGAUUAUUUUGAAAUUUUCUUCUAUCUCAAGAGUUUAGGAGAAAUUGUUGACAGAAAGAUAAAAUCUCCAGUGGAAUAAAGGAAGCAGUAGUUUUAAUAACCACUGGUUGCAUCAACCUGCAGCAGCUGCACCAGGCGGCCAUGUCACCUCGACGGAGGUUUCUGACACCCUGCUGAUUAUACUUUAUGAAACAUACGAUACUGGCGAGGUGUACCUAAUGAAGUGGCCGUGCGUGUAUGCUGUCCAUUGAUGAAACGCUUUGAUCUGAAGUAGACCUCAGGCAGCGUGUCCUUGGCUCAGAGCUGCAGCUCUCUGAAGUAUGCCACUUAUCUUUGAUCAGAGUAGCAACAGGAGAGCGGCUCUUGACUCUGAAGAGCACAAGGACCAUCCACAUGUUUUCAAGUGUUUGUGCUGGUGAAGAGUCUAUUACCCGUGAAGAGAAAGUAGAUGUCCUCUGGGAAAUCUGUUGUGGGUUUCAGAAUAAAUAGAUUUGGAUUUAAAACCUUUUAAAGCGACAGUAUCAUGUAAAAUAAUUUUUUUAGCUUUAUAUCAUGUUCUAAAUUCCUUCAGACUAGCCAGCAGCAAUUAGCAGACAUCUUCUGAGCUCAUUAUAGGAGCCACUUCUCAGAGAAACGUCGUUAAAGGGUUAAGAGAGGAGCCAUGUUGUGAUGACUUCCUGAAGGCGGAGUUUCAGAAA